CAGGGAGACAACAAAAUGUUUAAUAUUAUUAUUUUGUCACCUUAGGUCGAUCGGUAUCUCACGUUCUUAAUUUGUUAAGAAUUUCAUUUCCUAAGUUUUUCUAGGUCACACCCAUUAUUUUUCCUGGGCCAUUAGCUCAGGUGGUUAGAGCGCACCCCUGAUAAGGGUGAGGUCCCUGGUUCAAGUCCAGGAUGGCCCAUAUCUCUAUGUUGGGGGUAUAGCUCAGUUGGUAGAGCGCCUGCUUUGCAAGCAGGAUGUCAGCGGUUCGAGUCCGCUUACCUCCACUGAUUACCACCUCUUCCAUAACUGGUAGAAAGGAAAUGUUUUGAGUUGUGAUUAUUAUUCUGAACGAAUCUAGCUUCCUAAUGAAAUCAUUAAGAUGCUGGACUCAUUGAAUUAAUUUCAUUGUUUUCAGAGAACCUUGACAACUGCAUAGAUUUUUUUAAAGACAAUAAGCAUCUUUAAUGAUGCAGAUUUAUUAUUUGUGCGAAUGCAUUAAUAACAAUUCUAUUAAGCUGAUGCUUCAAUUUUUGAAGUUAUU
rnacentral:tRNA from 1 species